AUCGGAGUUCCUGAGUGACUCUUCAAACCAAACCUUCAAAGACUCUGAAGGAGCAGAGGGGACACAAUGGAUCAUUAACAGACAGGAUGAGGUCAGAGAACAAGACAUUGGCCACUUACUCCUUGUGAUGGUACUGAACAAGCAGAGAAGGCAGAAUCCCCCCCACUAUGGAUUUCUCACUCCUGUGAACAAAUGUCCACCCCCUUCCCAACUGCAAGAGGGUGUACAUUACUUCACUCCAUAAUAGACUCUGCAUCUUUUCUGU
rnacentral:lncRNA from 1 species